AUGAACGCUGGCGGCGUGCCUAAUACAUGCAAGUCGAGCGCACGGACGAGAAGCUUGCUUCUCUGAUGUUAGCGGCGGACGGGUGAGUAACACGUGGAUAACCUACCUAUAAGACUGGGAUAACUUCGGGAAACCGGAGCUAAUACCGGAUAAUAUUUUGAACCGCAUGGUUCAAAAGUGAAAGACGGUCUUGCUGUCACUUAUAGAUGGAUCCGCGCUGCAUUAGCUAGUUGGUAAGGUAACGGCUUACCAAGGCAACGAUGCAUAGCCGACCUGAGAGGGUGAUCGGCCACACUGGAGCUGAGACACGGUCCAGACUCCUACGGGAGGCAGCAGUAGGGAAUCUUCCGCAAUGGGCGAAAGCCUGACGGAGCAACGCCGCGUGAGUGAUGAAGGUCUUCGGAUCGUAAAACUCUGUUAUUAGGGAAGAACAUAUGUGUAAGUAACUGUGCACAUCUUGACGGUACCUAAUCAGAAAGCCACGGCUAACUACGUG
rnacentral:rRNA from 1 species